UGGGGAAUAUUGCACAAUGGGCGCAAGCCUGAUGCAGCCAUGCCGCGUGUAUGAAGAAGGCCUUCGGGUUGUAAAGUACUUUCAGCGGGGAGGAAGGGAGUAAAGUUAAUACCUUUGCUCAUUGACGCUACCCGCAGAAGAAGCACCGGCUAACUCCGUGCCAGCAGCCGCGGUAAUACGGAGGGUGCAAGCGUUAAUCGGAAUUACUGGGCGUAAAGCGCACGCAGGCAGUUUGUUAAGUCAGAUGUGAAAUCCCCGGGCUCAACCUGGGAACUGCAUCUGAUACUGGCAAGCUUGAGUCUCGUAGAGGGAGGUAGAAUUCCAGGUGUAGCGGUGAAAUGCAUAGAGAUCUGGAGGAAUACCGGUGGCGAAGGCGGCCCCCUGGACGAAGACUGACGCUCAGGUGCGAAAGCGUGGGGAGCAAACAGG
rnacentral:rRNA from 1 species